GGUGAACUCCGGUCAGCUGACACGUCCCGGCCAGUCUCCAGCAGACCCUCCCUCCCAGACCCUCCUACUUCCUGGACAGCAUCCAGGAGGGUCUGGGAGGGAGGGUCUGCUGGAGAUUGGCCGGGACGUGUCAGCUGACCGG